rnacentral:rRNA from 1 species
GACGAACGCUGGCGGCGUGCUUAACACAUGCAAGUCGAACGGAAAGGCUCUGCUUUUGUGGGGUGCUCGAGUGGCUAACGGGUGAGUAACACGCGAGUAACCUGCCCUUGACUUUGGGAUAACUUCAGGAAACUGGGGCUAAUACCGGAUAGGAGCUCCUGCUGCAUGGUGGGGGUUGGAAAGUUUCGGCGGUUGGGGAUGGACUCGCGGCUUAUCAGCUUGUUGGUGGGGUAGUGGCUUACCAAGGCUUUGACGGGUCGCCGGCCUGAGAGGGUGGCCGGCCACGUUGGGGCUGAGAUACGGCACAGACUCCUACGGGAGGCAGCGGUGGGGAAUAUUGCACAGUGGGCGGAAGCCUGAUGCAACAACGCCGCGUGCGGGAUGACGGCCUGCGGGUUGUAAACCGCUUUCGCCUGAGACGAAGCGAGAGUGACGGUAAUGGGUAAAGAAGCACCGGCUAACUACGUG